UGGGGAAUCUUGCACAAUGGGCGAAAGCCUGAUGCAGCGACGCCGCGUGCGGGAUGAAGGCCUUCGGGUUGUAAACCGCUUUCAGCAGGGACGAGGCCGCAAGGUGACGGUACCUGCAGAAGAAGCCCCGGCUAACUACGUGCCAGCAGCCGCGGUAAUACGUAGGGGGCAAGCGUUAUCCGGAUUCAUUGGGCGUAAAGCGCGCGUAGGCGGUUUGUUAGGUAAGGAGUUAAAUCUGGGGGCUCAACCCCUAUCCGCUCCUGAUACCGGCAGGCUUGAGUCUGGUAGGGGAAGGCGGAAUUCCAAGUGUAGCGGUGAAAUGCGCAGAUAUUUGGAAGAACACCGGUGGCGAAGGCGGCCUUCUGGGCCACGACUGACGCUGAGGCGCGAAAGCUAGGGGAGCGAACAGG
rnacentral:rRNA from 1 species